CAAGUCGUGGGGCAGCAGGGGUAGCAAUACUCGCUGGCGACCGGCAAACGGGUGCGGAACACGUACACAACCUUCCUUAAAGUGGGGAAUAGCCCAGGGAAACUUGGAUUAAUACCCCGUAAUAUUGCGAAAUGGCAUCAUUUUUCAAUUAUAGCUCCGGCGCUUAAAGAUGGGUGUGCGGCUGAUUAGGUAGUUGGCGGGGUAACGGCCCACCAAGCCUACGAUCAGUAACUGGUGUGAGAGCACGACCAGUCACACGGGCACUGAGACACGGGCCCGACUCCUACGGGAGGCAGCAGUAAGGAAUAUUGGUCAAUGGACGCAAGUCUGAACCAGCCAUGCCGCGUGGAGGAUGAAGGUCCUCUGGAUUGUAAACUUCUUUUAUCUGGGAAGAAACCCAAGGUUUCUACUUUGGUUGACGGUACCAGAUGAAUAAGCACCGGCUAACUCCGUGCCAGCAGCCGCGGUAAUACGGAGGGUGCAAGCGUUAUCCGGAUUCACUGGGUUUAAAGGGUGCGUAGGUGGGUUAGUAAGUCAGUGGUGAAAUCUCCGGGCUUAACCCGGAAACUGCCAUUGAUACUAUUAGUCUUGAAUGUCGUGGAGGUAAGCGGAAUAUGUCAUGUAGCGGUGAAAUGCUUAGAUAUGACAUAGAACACCGAUAGCGUAGGCAGCUUACUACACGAAUAUUGACACUGAGGCACGAAAGCGUGGGGAUCAAACAGGAUUAGAUACCCUGGUAGUCCACGCCCUAAACGAUGGAUACUCGACAUCAGCGAUACACUGUUGGUGUCUGAGCGAAGCAUUAAGUAUCCCACCUGG
rnacentral:rRNA from 1 species